rnacentral:tRNA from 1 species
GAGGGUAUAGCUCAGUGGUAGAGUGCCUGCUUAACAUGCACGAGGUCCUGGGUUCAAUCCCCAGUGCCUCCA